rnacentral:rRNA from 1 species
UACGAAGGGGGCUAGCGUUGCUCGGAAUCACUGGGCGUAAAGCGCACGUAGGCGGCUUACUAAGUCAGGGGUGAAAUCCUGGAGCUCAACUCCAGAACUGCCUUUGAUACUGGUGAGCUUGAGUCCGGAAGAGGUGAGUGGAACUGCGAGUGUAGAGGUGAAAUUCGUAGAUAUUCGGUGGAACACCAGUGGCGAAGGCGACUCGCUGGACUGAUACUGACGCUGAGGUGCGAAAGCUAGGGGAGCGAACAGG